UUUAAACGGCCGCGGUAUCCUAACCGUGCAAAGGUAGCAUAAUCACUUGUCCCCUAAAUAGGGACUGGAAUGAAUGGCUAAAUGAGGACUAAACUGUCUCUUACAGGUUGGCCAAUGAAAUUGAUAUUCCAGUACAAAAGCUGGAAUAAACCCAUAAGACGAGAAGACCCUGUGGAGCUUUAAAGCCAAGUCCACUAAAUAUGGCUCUUGAAUUUUCAGUUGGGGCGACUUUGGAGUAAAACAAAACCUCCAAGAAAACUUCUAUUGAGGUUAACACACCAAAAUAAUAAUACAGACCCAGCAAUAAUUCCAACCAAUUGCCUGAUCAAUGAACCAAGUUACCCCAGGGAUAACAGCGCCAUCCCCUUUUAGAGUCCCUAUCGACAAGGGGGUUUACGACCUCGAUGUUGGAUCAGGACACCCCAAUGGUGCAGCCGCCAUUAAAGGUUCGUUUGUUCAACGAUUAAAGUCCUA
rnacentral:rRNA from 1 species